rnacentral:rRNA from 1 species
AAUGGGGGCAACCCUGAUCCAGCCAUGCCGCGUGAGUGAUGAAGGCCUUAGGGUCGUAGAGCUCUUUCGCCUGUGAAGAUAAUGACGGUAGCAGGUAAAGAAACCCCGGCUAACUCCGUGCCAGCAGCCGCGGUAAUACGGAGGGGGUUAGCGUUGUUCGGAAUUACUGGGCGUAAAGCGCACGUAGGCGGACUGGAAAGUUGGGGGUGAAAUCCCAGGGCUCAACCCUGGAACUGCCUCCAAAACUAUCAGUCUAGAGUUCGAGAGAGGUGAGUGGAAUUCCGAGUGUAGAGGUGAAAUUCGUAGAUAUUCGGAGGAACACCAGUGGCGAAGGCGGCUCACUGGCUCGAUACUGACGCUGAGGUGCGAAAGUGUGGGGAGCAAACAGGAUU